CUCUGAUCUUGAUUAGGACUCAUCAGAUAAACUUCUCAAAAUGAAAUUUCCUUCUCAGCUUCUGGGGCUGUUGAUGCUCUGGAUCCCAGGAUCCACUGGGGAGGCCGUGAUGACGCAGACCCCACUGUCCCUGGCCGUCACCCCUGGAGAGCUGGCCACUAUCUCCUGCAGGGCCAGUCAGAGUCUCCUGCACAGUGAUGGAAAAUCCUAUUUGAAUUGGUACCUGCAGAAACCAGGCCAGACUCCUCGGCCGCUGAUUUAUGAGGCUUCCAAGCGUUUCUCUGGGGUCUCAGACAGGUUCAGUGGCAGCGGGUCAGGGACAGAUUUCACCCUUAAAAUCAGCAGGGUGGAGGCUGAGGAUGUUGGAGUUUAUUACUGCCAGCAAAGUCUACAUCUUCCUCCGACGUUCGGAGCAGGAACCAAGGUGGAGCUCAAACGGAAUGAUGCCCAGCCAGCCGUCUAUUUGUUCCAACCAUCUCCAGAGCAGUUACACACAGGAAGUGCCUCUGUUGUGUGCUUGCUGAAUAGCUUCUACCCCAAAGACAUCAAUGUCAAGUGGAAAGUGGAUGGUGUCAUCCAAGACACAGGCAUCCAGGAAAGUGUCACAGAGCAGGACAAGGACAGUACCUACAGCCUCAGCAGCACCCUGACGAUGUCCAGUACUGAGUACCUAAGUCAUGAGUUGUACUCCUGUGAGAUCACUCACAAGAGCCUGCCCUCCACCCUCAUCAAGAGCUUCCAAAGGAGCGAGUGUCAGAGAGUGGACUAACAGGCCCCACCACCUGCCCCUCAGGCCUAGCCUUCCUGUCUCCUAGCUCAGGCCUUGGGCCCUUUCCCCAUCAGAGACCCACCCCUGUUGCAGGCACCACCCUUCUCCCCACCUCCCCGUCUUGGGCUUUAACAAUGCUAAUGGUAUCUGGGGGAAAAGGAAUAAAUAAAGUGAAUUGUUGCACCUGU